ACAGGAGGGGAACAGCCCCCAGCUACGUUCAAAGCAGCGCCCGAGAGGGAGGCCAGGGCCCGGGGCAAGGGGAGGCACCUGCCUGCUGUGCUUGGGCCACGGCUGCUCUGCUUGGGGCUCUCGAGACCCUGGUGGUCACAGUGAGGCCUGGGGACAGUGAAAUGGAAAGACCACAGCAAUCUGGAGUUGGGGGAGGGAGGCUCCCUACUGCCCUUGGUGGGAGCAAGUGGCCGGCACCCCUGAAGAACUCGCCUCCCUGUGCUGCGUCCCCGAGCCCAGCGCUUCCUGGGUCCCCAGGGCCCGAGUGAACAGGCCCAGGGGGACAAAGGCCGUGCAGAGGCUGUGGACGCCCCGGGCGGCACCAAGCUCCCACACUGGGCGUUCUCAGCUCUUCUGUCAGAGUCCAGUCGAGCACAGGGGCCCUGGGGUGGUUGUCCGUGUUUCCAGUCACAGCAGGGCAAUCCUCCGCCUCUCCUCAGGACACUCCAUGUGAGUGACCACUUGUCGUGGCUGCGGCCGCUGCCCCAGACAGGGAGAGCUUCCCAGGGCGGCACAGAGCAGCACUGGUUGUGCCUCCCCCGCACACCCAGCAGGAGCCACAACGCUGUCCCCACACCCUGCGGGCACAGGCCACCCAGGGGCCAGGCAUGGCCGGGCUGCUGAGCUCUAGCCCAGCCCAGGGGCCCGGCUUCAGGCUGCUCGGUGGCCCAGAAGGUCGCUGGAAUGGGGUCUCUGACCCCAGUGAGGCCCCAGCCCCUUGAGGGUGCCGGGUGGGCCUGCCCUUCGUUCGGGCAACCUGGAGGCUGGAAGCGACAAAGCCCUGCAGGUCUCCUUCACUGUUUCCGAGGAAGUGAGAGGAAAAGGGCAGAGCUGGUGUCCUGAGCAGGUGUCCCCAGGACAUCUGCACACUUCCAAUGACAGCCCUCGCCAGAGAGCACACCCUGGGACCCCACUGCUUGCCAGAACCGGGUGUGGCCUCGGACCCGCUUGGAGACCAGGGGUGGGCAAUGGACGGGACAGGACAGGCGGGAGAGGGGAGUCCGGGCAAGGAGACUUCCAGUAAGGGAAACUGACGAAGGCAGGAAGGCAGGGCCUGCGGCAGGGGCGGCUGGUGGGCAUCUUCCACCCCCAGCCCCUGGGAAGGAGAUAUGGAUGCGCAGGGCUUCCCUGGCCCACAGAGGCCUCCUGGCACCCAGCCACCUGGUGCCCUCAGUCUCCAGGGACUGCACUUGGGGCUGAGAACAGGCUCACGUCAGGGGUGACCGCUGGAGCCACCUGUGCCCAGACCUAAGCCCACAGAUGCCCGGGCACCCAGGAUGCCCAGGAGCACCAGUUGACAUCACUAGGCGGCCACAGAGACGGGACAGAGCAGCGAGAGAGCGCGAAGACCUGUCUGCAGGUGGCACUGCGGCCUCAGGCCCUGCACUCAGAGCCCCACAAAGGCAGCAGGGGACAUCGGAUGCUGAACCGGAGAAGGGGUGAGGUGCUGGUGUCCAACAGGCCAUGCCGCCUGCGAGGACCAGCACUGACGCCUCGGGAACCCGGGGGCAGCAUGGCCCCCACAGUGGCCGGGCCUCAGCUUCCUCUCAGCCCCUCCGGGGUCGCUUCUGCAGCAGCUGCCCAGACUGACCCUAACUCUUGCUGUUCUGAGAAGUCCCCUCCAGAGCACAGGCAAGGCACAGAGCAGGGGAGCGCGCGUGUGGGGUCACACUGGGCCAGUCCUGUGACUCAGUUUCUUUUUACAUCCAUUGUGGCUGGCUGCGCUUUCUUUAUGGCCCACAGAGCCCUGGGCACUUGCCUUCUGGUAAACCAGGUAGUGGAAAGAUCA